UCUGUGGAUCUGUUGGUUCUGAAAGCGUACUGGUGAGGGUCCAGGCUGGCAGGGAUGUUGUCUUUGAUGUGUUGGAGAACCGUUUUCUCAAAGCACUUAAUCAGGAUGGGGGUAAGAGCUACAGGGCGGUAGUCAUUAAGACUAGACACAGCAGACUUUUUGGGAACAGGAACGAUGAUGGCUGUCUUGAGGCAGGAAGAACAGUCUCUUGUGGGGUGAGACGUUAAAAAUGUCAGUCAUAACAUUAACAAGCUGAUCUGCAGUUUCUAAUGUUCGUCCAGGAAUGUUGUCUGGGCCUGUGGACUUGUUUAUAUUCACUCUCAGCAGGAGUUUUCUCACAUCUGCUGUGGUCACUGAAAGUGGCCGGUCCUCUGGAGGGCGGAGUCGACUUCACAGCUGAGUCCUUAUUAAGGAGGUCAAAGCGAGCGUAAAAUGUGUUCAGCUGGUCCAGCAGCGUGGCCUCACAUAUGAUGGGGGGCGCUCCUGCUUUUGUAGCCUGUGACAUUUUGAAUCGCCUGCCACAUAUCUUUAGUGCUGUUGCUGUUGAGAUCUCUCUCCGGUCUCUGCUGGUGUCUCCUCCUUGAUGCCAGCUCUCAAUUUAAUUUAAAACGGUAUCAUUAGCAUGUGUAGUAAUGUAACUUUCAUUUACACUGACAUAUUAUGCCCAUUUUCAGUAUCUUGAAUAUUGAUCUUGAACUCCUGUGGAGCAGCAUUGUAUCAUUCACUAUCCAGAACACUGUAUCUGAAGUCCUCUAUCAGAGCCCUGUUUUCAGCAGAGCUCUGAGACGGUCGGUUUCAGCUUCCUCCUCCUCCGUGGCCACUGGCCACAUCGCGCCCUGCCUUCUCUGCUGAUUGGUUGGCUUUCCGAAGCCACCCGAGAAGAGGCGAGAAAAGUCGAACACUCCCUCUCCCGCUUCUGUCGAUGCGGAAGUUCAGUUUGCAAACUUCACUUUAAUACAUCCAUGCAGUAAACAGACAAACUAACGUAGUUUGUUGUAGUUACUCGGAGAUGGCGACCUUCGACACACAGCCUUAAAUGUUAGAUCCUGAAUCUGGUUCGGAUAACCAAAGUUUACAGCACGAACCUUCACAGCAACAGAGACUUCUGCAAACCGUCUUUGCGUGGUGAGUGAACAGUUAUCAGAAAUACUGUUGAACCAUAUGGUGGAUUUUUUUUCACUCUGCUUUUACGUAGUUUCUAAUAUAUUCCCUUGUUACCAGGUGCACGUGUGGAAAAUGCGCUAAGAUGCGCUAAGGUGAAGUGGAAAAGACAUACCAAAGAUGUCACAGAUAUCUCCCAAACUGCAGCUUUGUUAGCUGGUGUUGGGGAUACCUGGGAAGAUGUGUGAAGAUCAUCAUCCCGUCUUGUAAAGACCCCUUCCUUUGACAGUCUCUGGAACUGGGCACAGAGGUUUUCUGGGAUGGGGAUUUCUUUGAGCUCAUCUGUGUAUCUGCAGGGCUCUUCCUAAUAAAUCUAAAUUUAGAUUUGCA